rnacentral:ncRNA from 1 species
CCCCGGAGUAGAAGCUGUCAGCGCCACAUGGGCGUCGGUCAUUGCUCCCCUU